rnacentral:rRNA from 1 species
GUGAGGUAAUGGCUCACCAAGGCGACGACGGGUAGCCGGCCUGAGAGGGCGAUCGGCCACACUGGGACUGAGACACGGCCCAGACUCCUACGGGAGGCAGCAGUGGGGAAUAUUGCACAAUGGGCGCAAGCCUGAUGCAGCGACGCCGCGUGAGGGAUGAAGGCCUUCGGGUUGUAAACCUCUUUCAGCAGGGAAGAAGCGAAAGUGACGGUACCUGCAGAAGAAGCACCGGCUAACUACGUGCCAGCAGCCGCGGUAAUACGUAGGGCGCAAGCGUUAUCCGGAAUUAUUGGGCGUAAAGAGCUCGUAGGCGGUUUGUCGCGUCUGCCGUGAAAGUCCGGGGCUCAACUCCGGAUCUGCGGUGGGUACGGGCAGACUAGAGUGAUGUAGGGGAGACUGGAAUUCCUGGUGUAGCGGUGAAAUGCGCAGAUAUCAGGAGGAACACCGAUGGCGAAGGCAGGUCUCUGGGCCGAAACUGACGCUGAGGAGCGAAAGCAUGGGUAGCAAACAGGAUUAGAUACCCUGGUAGUCCAUGCCGUAAACGUUGGGCACUAGGUGUGGGUUCCAACCAACGGAAUCCGCGCCGUCGCUAACGCAUUAAGUG